rnacentral:rRNA from 1 species
GACGAACGCUGGCGGCGUGCUUAACACAUGCAAGUCGAACGGUAAGGCCCUUCGGGUACGACGAGUGGCGAACGGGUGAGUAACGCGUGAGUAACCUGCCCUUCACUCUGGGAUAACAGUUGGAAACGGCUGCUAAUACCGGAUAUUCAGCUCCUGUCGCAUGGUGGGGGUUGGAAAGUUUUGGUGGUGGAGGAUGGGCUCGCGUCCUAUCAGCUUGUUGGUGGGGUGAUGGCCUACCAAGGCGUCGACGGGUAGCCGGCCUGAGAGGGCGACCGGCCACAUUGGGACUGAGAUACGGCCCAAACUCCUACGGGAGGCAGCAGUGGGGAAUAUUGCACAAUGGGGGCAACCCUGAUCCAGCCAUGCCGCGUGAGUGAGGAAGGCCUUCGGGUCGUAAAGCUCUGUCAGAUGGGAAGAAAUGGAUGGGGGCGUAAUAUCGCCCAUCCUUGACGGUACCAUCAGAGGAAGCACCGGCUAACUCCGUGCCAGCAGCCGGGUAAACUAGUCUACG